rnacentral:lncRNA from 1 species
UGGUAGCAGUCAUGUUUGCUGUCUAAUAUGGAAAGGGUUCGAAGCUCGCUGUAUAACUUGUCAGUAAAAAAGCUAGCUAACGUAUCAUAAAUGAGGGCCCCCUAAGAGCUACAAAUAUGGAAAGGGUUCGAAGCUCGCUGUAUAACUUGUCAGUAAAAAAGCUAGCUAACGUAUCAUAAAUGAGGGCCCCCUAAGAGCUACA